rnacentral:rRNA from 1 species
GGANUGCGNAUGGGCGAAGCCUGACGCAGCCAUGCCGCGUGUAUGAUGAAGGUCUUAGGAUUGUAAAAUACUUUCACCGGUGAAGAUAAUGACUGUAGCCGGAGAAGAAGCCCCGGCUAACUUCGUGCCAGCAGCCGCGGUAAUACGAAGGGGGCUAGCGUUGCUCGGAAUUACUGGGCGUAAAGGGAGCGUAGGCGGACAUUUAAGUCAGAGGUGAAAUCCCGGAGCUUAACUUCGGAACUGCCUUUGAUACUGGGUGUCUUGAGUGUGAGAGAGGUAUGUGGAACUCCGAGUGUAGAGGUGAAAUUCGUAGAUAUUCGGAAGAACACCAGUGGCGAAGGCGACAUACUGGCUCAUUACUGACGCUGAGGCUCGAAAGCGUGGGGAGCAAACAGGAUUAGAUACCCUGGUAGUCCACGCCGUAAACGAUGAUUGCUAGUUGUCGGGAAGCUUGCUUCUCGGUGACGCAGCUAACGCAUUAAGCAAUCCGCCUGGGGAGUACGGCCGCAAGGUUAAAACUCAAAAAAAUUGACGGA